rnacentral:misc_RNA from 1 species
AACGCACAUUGCGCUUUCUGGCAUUCCGGGAAGCAUGCCCAUUUCAGAAUCAUUGUCACAACUCUAGCUCUUUGUGCUUGUGCACAAAAGUUGAUUUGGACUUUUUGGCUUCUUCAAAAGUCUGAAAAGCAUUGCAUGACUACCAAGUACUUUAUGUUGAAAAGUCUCCAAAUGCAAUAGAGAAUGUAAGUCUUUACCACAUUUGGCUGGACGAUCAGCUGUUGCUUGAUAGAACUUGCUUUGAAAUCCAUGCCGGUUUUCCGGUCAUAAACAUGGUCUGAAAUUGGGCAAGAAGACCCGCUGAACUUAA